AGACCGUGGAGAACAACACAGAGGAGGAAGGACGGAGACGGACACAUCCUCAGUCCUCCCUUCAACAUGCUGCCCAGCAUCCACACAUACCUGCAGGGCACAGAGAAAGUGAUCCUGCUCAGUCCACGUUGGUCUUACCGUUUCUGUGAGGGCGUCAUCAGAGCGGAGAGCUUGUCAUUGUAGAACCUCCUCAUGGCGAAGUGGUCGAGAGAAAGGUCUGCACUGAGAGAGACGCAGAUAUUCAGGUUUUCCAGGACAUGUGGGAACCCUGAGAAAGCUCCAGAACAGCUACUACUAUAAACAGACUCGUGGUGAGAUUGAUUCAUCUCCGUUAUAUUUGAGUUGCAGCAGAAAUCUCUGAAGCAAAAACUGGUCAAAUAAAACUAUCUGCACGACGAGAUACAACUGAAGGUACAUUUUUUUCUUUUGUAAUUUGCGUGAAUUGACACACCUUUGCAUACCUGCACUUGCUCACACAAGCACACAGAUCAUUCCCAGAGAGGACGGACAAUGGUCACAAUCAGAUAUUUCUCAACACUCAGUCAGCUGU